rnacentral:rRNA from 1 species
GAUUAACGCUGGCGGCGUGCCUAACACAUGCAAGUCGAGCGGCAGCGAGUUUUACACUGAAUUCUGGAAGCUUCUGGUUGAAAGAGAAGAUUUAUUCAAGAAUUUUGUGUAAAAUGUCGGCGAGCGGCGGACGGCUGAGUAACGCGUGGGAACGUACCCCAAAGUGAGGGAUAACGCAUCGAAAGGUGUGCUAAUACCGCAUAUGGUCUUCGGAUUAAAGCCUUCGGGCGCUUUGGGAACGGCCUGCGUAAGAUUAGAUAGUUGGUGGGGUAAUGGCCUACCAAGUCGACGAUCUUUAACUGGUUUGAGAGGAUGAUCAGUCAGACUGGAACUGAGACACGGUCCAGACUCCUACGGGAGGCAGCAGUGAGGAAUCUUCCACAAUGGGCGAAAGCCUGAUGGAGCAACGCCGCGUGCAGGAUGAAGGCCUUCGGGUUGUAAACUGCUUUUAUAAGUGAGGAUUAUGACAGUAACUUAUGAAUAAGAAUCGGCUAACUACGUG